UUCUUGGUCAUUUAGAGGAAGUAAAAGUCGUAACAAGGUUUCCGUAGGUGAACCUGCGGAAGGAUCAUUAAAGAAAUCGCAAUGGCUYGUGAAGCAAAUUGUGCUGGUCGUCAUUCGACAUGUGUGCACACUUGUGGAUCGAGUGCAUUUCUUCUUACACACACCUGUGCACGAUCUGUAGCUUUAGGGAUGAUCACGACAAUGUCGAAUGCCCUAAAUGCUAUGUUCUUAUACACAUACACUACUAUGUUUAGAUGGUUAAAUGCGUGUUAUAUCGCAGAUGCAAUACAACUUUCAGCAACGGAUCUCUUGGCUCUCGCAUCGAUGAAGAACGCAGCGAAAUGCGAUAAGUAAUGUGAAUUGCAGAAUUCAGUGAAUCAUCGAAUCUUUGAACGCACCUUGCGCUCCUUGGUAUUCCGAGGAGCAUGCCUGUUUGAGUGUCAUGAAAUUAUCAACUGCUUUGACAUUUUGUUGUUGAAGUGAAGUUGGACUUUGGAGGUCAUUGCUGGGUUYGUCAGCUCCUCUUAAAAGCAUUCAAAAGCUCUCUAUAAGUAAUCUUUGACGUGAUAACUAUCUACGUCGUAGAAUUAUAGAGUCUUUUGUUAUUUAUAUGUUGACCAAUUUGACCUCAAAUCAGGUAGGACUACCCGCUGAACUUAAGCAUAUCAAUAAGCGGAGGAA
rnacentral:rRNA from 1 species